GGAGGGUAUAGUCAGCGGUAGAGUGUGUGCUUAGCAUGCGCAAGGUCCUGGGUUCAAUCCCCAGCACCUCCA
rnacentral:tRNA from 1 species